GGUUAAUUGAAAAUAUUUACACUCAACAACCAAAUGGUUUAAUCAAGACAACAACACACGCUAUAGCUGCCGGAAGUAAAGACUAAGAGUUUGUUACCAAUGCAGGAAAAACCAUUUUGGACUGUGAAGCCACCUCAUGGCUAUAUAAACACCAGCUUCUUCUGCUCUUUGUUGAUCUCUUUGGACCAACUGCCAAUGAACCAAAUGCAGCUUUCUUCAGCCAGUAGCCAUCCAUCUUCAUCAUUGCAGCAACAAGAUGCAGACCACAGCCAUAUCGUCUGACCCAGCAGAACUGAAGUCAUUUGAAUGUUUGUUCCAGACUGCAGUAUUAACAUCAUUUCCUUUGGCAAUCAUUUAUUAUUAUAACGAGUGGAAUAAAUCGUCACUAUUUCAACUUA